UACGUACCCCCUCCGUUCGGAAUUACUUGUCUCGAAAAUGGAUGUAUCUAGAACUAAAAUACGUCUAGAUACAUCCAUUUCUGCGACAAGUAAUUCCGAACGGAGAGAGUAGUAU
rnacentral:pre_miRNA from 1 species